UGUGAUGAUGAUGAGAUAUUAUGAAUCUCGUUAGUCUGACAUUUUUGUGACGACGAACACUCUCAUCCAUUCUUAACAGAUUCUGAGC